GGAGGGGGUGACUUGUAGUAGUAUGGUAGUGGUAUGGUGGUGGUGGUGGUGGUGAUGGUGGGGGUGGUGACUUGUAAUAGUAAGGUGGUGGAGGAGAUGGUGAUGGUGGAGGAGGUGACUUGUAGUGGUAUGGUGGUGGAGGAGAAGGGGAUGGUGGAGGUGGUGACUUGUAGUAGUAGGGUGGGGGAGGAGAUGGUGAUGGUGGAGGGGGUGACUUGUAGUAGUAUGGUGGUGGUGGAGAUGGAGAGGGUGGUGGUGGUGACUUGUACAUGUAUGGUGGUGGUGGGGAUGGAGAGGGUGGUGGUGGGGAUUUAUACAUGUAUGGUGGAGGGGGAGAUGGGGAUGGAGGUGGUGGAGACUUGUACAUAUAUGUGGAG